ensembl:snRNA
CUAACUUAUGAGAAGCCAGAAGGUUAGCACUCCAUUUGAUAUGGAUGGAAGAGGUCCUAGUGGUCUUUAUAACACACAUAUAGUUAAGGUAUUACCAUCUACUCUGUGAUAGCUAACCAUGCUCAGCU